GACCAAAUCGGCCACGCCCCCCAUGACCUCGAGUAAAGCUACAACCAAUAGAGGGCCUAGGGUUACUAGAGGAAUGGGGGGACUACUGAAUGGUAUUGGUGGUUGGAUUGGUAGACGGGGCUGCAUCAGCAAUGGAUAAUUUUUUGAAUGCUCGCAUACUUUCAUGGCUAAGAGCCCAUAAAGUUUAGUAUAGGUUGGAGGGGUGUAGCGAUUGAGAAUGCCAGGG
rnacentral:lncRNA from 1 species